UACGGAGGGGCUAGCGUUGUUCGGAAUUACUGGGCGUAAAGCGCACGUAGGCGGCUUUGUAAGUUAGAGGUGAAAGCCCGGAGCUCAACUCCGGAACUGCCGUUUAAGACUGCAUCGCUUGAAUCCAGGAGAGGUGAGUGGAAGUUCCGAGUGUAGAGGUGAAAUUCGUAGAUAUUGGAAGAACACCAGUGGCGAAGGUCGGCUCACUGGACUGGUAUUGACGCUGAGGUGCGAAAGCGUGGGGAGCAAACAGGG
rnacentral:rRNA from 1 species